rnacentral:rRNA from 1 species
UACGAAGGGGGCUAGCGUUACUCGGAUUGACUGGGCGUAAAGGGCGCGUAGGCGGCUUGUACAGUCAGACGUGAAAUUCCUGGGCUCAACCUGGGGGCUGCGUUUGAUACGUGCGGGCUUGAGUUCGGAAGAGGGUCGUGGAAUUCCCAGUGUAGAGGUGAAAUUCGUAGAUAUUGGGAAGAACACCGGUGGCGAAGGCGGCGACCUGGUCCAUUACUGACGCUGAGGCGCGACAGCGUGGGGGAGCAAACAGG